rnacentral:rRNA from 1 species
AUUGAACGCUGGCGGCAGGCCUAACACAUGCAAGUCGAACGGUAACAGGAAGAAGCUUGCUUCUUUGCUGACGAGUGGCGGACGGGUGAGUAAUGUCUGGGAAACUGCCUGAUGGAGGGGGAUAACUACUGGAAACGGUAGCUAAUACCGCAUAACGUCGCAAGACCAAAGAGGGGGACCUUCGGGCCUCUUGCCAUCGGAUGUGCCCAGAUGGGAUUAGCUAGUAGGUGGGGUAACGGCUCACCUAGGCGACGAUCCCUAGCUGGUCUGAGAGGAUGACAAGCCAACCUGAAACUGAGAACGGGCCCAGACCCCAAGGGGAGGCAGCAUGGGGAAAUUUUGAAAAAGGGGGCCAACCCUGAGGCAGCCAGGCCGGGGGGAUGAAAAAGGCCUUCGGGUGUAAAAGUAUUUUCAGGGGGGGGGAAGGGGGAAAAUUUAAAACCUUGGCUCAUUGACGUACCCCGAAAAAAAAGCACCGGCAAACUCCUU